rnacentral:lncRNA from 1 species
CGUUUUUUCUGUUUUUUUUUNUUGGAGUUGCAUAUUUUGAGAUUGUUGGUGCAUAGAUGUUGGAUUGUGUUGCAUAGUUAUCAAAUUUCCUAAGGUUUUUUUUUUGUUAAUUUUUUAAGAUUGCAUGGAUAAUGGUUAAUUUUUGGAUAGCUGUUUAGUAAAGAUUUAGCAUAGCUGUCUAAUUUUUUAAGAUUGCAUAGCUGUUUAAAAAAGAUCUUACAUCGAAAUUGCUUUAUUCUUUAAUAUGUGCAUCUAUGCUCUUGAAAUUUGAGGUGAC